rnacentral:rRNA from 1 species
GACGAACGCUGGCGGCGUGCCUAAUACAUGCAAGUGGGACGCAAGGGAACACACUGUGCUUGCACACCGUGUUUUCUUGAGUCGCGAACGGGUGAGUAACGCGUAGGUAACCUGCCUAUUAGCGGGGGAUAACUAUUGGAAACGAUAGCUAAUACCGCAUAAUAUUAAUUGUUGCAUGAUAAUUGAUUGAAAGAUGCAAGCGCAUCACUAGUAGAUGGACCUGCGUUGUAUUAGCUAGUUGGUAAGGUAAGAGCUUACCAAGGCGACGAUACAUAGCCGACCUGAGAGGGUGAUCGGCCACACUGGGACUGAGACACGGCCCAGACUCCUACGGGAGGCAGCAGUAGGGAAUCUUCGGCAAUGGACGAAAGUCUGACCGAGCGACGCCGCGUGAGUGAAGAAGGUUUUCGGAUCGUAAAGCUCUGUUGUAAGUCAAGAACGUGUGUGAGAGUGGAAAGUUCACACAG